GAGCACUGUUCGUGACACAUCAGCCUGGCUGUGGCUGGCGGGUUCCAUUCCAGUGCCAGAGUAACCCCCAGGACUCGUGACUGGCUGCCUGGCUGGUGGCGCUCGGUCUCAGGCCCUGGAGACAGCU